rnacentral:lncRNA from 1 species
UAGCAUUAUUUCGUUGUUUUACAAGGACUUCCAAGCAAUCUCAGGGUGAAACACAUGUGCCUACUUGAGCUGUUCCAUAGGAUGAUGAUCAUGACACUAGGGCGGACCUGUGCCUUAGAGACUAAAAAUGAAGAUAGACUAGUUUAAUUAUGUCAUGAACUCUUUGUUUUCCUGUUUAAGACAAUGUAUUACACUUGUUUAAUAAAUAAAAUGUAACUUUGAUU